rnacentral:rRNA from 5 species
UGCAGAAUCCCGUGAACCAUCGAGUCUUUGAACGCAAGUUGCGCCCGAAGCCAUUAGGCCGAGGGCACGUCUGCCUGGGUGUCA